AACUUUCAACAAUGGAUCUCUUGGCUCUCGCAUCGAUGAAGAACGCAGCGGAAUGCGAUACGUAAUGUGAAUUGCAGAAUUCAGUGAAUCAUCGAAUCUUUGAACGCACCUUGCGCCCCUUGGCAUUCCGAGGGGCACACCCGUUUGAGUGUCGUGAACAUCCUCAACCUGCUUGGUUUUACCAAACCAAGUAGGCUUGGAAUUUGGAGGUUUUCUGCUGGCCUCCUCUGAAGCCAGCUCCUCUUAAAUGUAUCAGUGGGAUCCGCUUUGCUAGAUCCUCGACGUUGAUAAGAUGUUUCUACGUCUUGGGUUUUGCUCGGGAAGGACCUGCUUCUAACCGUCCCAUCAGGGACAUCGUUCGAGCCGAUCGCCCUUCACGGGGUGGGAAGCUUUUCGACCCAUGAAACCUUGACCUCAAAUCGGGUGAGACUACCCGCUGAACUUAAGCAUAUCAAUAAGCGGAGGCU
rnacentral:misc_RNA from 1 species